rnacentral:rRNA from 1 species
AUUGAACGCUAGCGGGAUGCUUUACACAUGCAAGUCGAACGGAGUGGCGGACGGGUGAGUAAUAUAUCGGAACGUGCCCCGUAGCGGGGGAUAACUACUCGAAAGGGUGGCUACUACCGCAUACUAUUAGAUCUGCCCAUAUGGGAUUAGCUAGUGGGUGGGGUAAAGGCUCACCAAGGCAACGAUCCCUAGCUGGUUUGAGAGGACGACCAGCCCAACUGGGACGGAGAAACGGCCCAGACGCCUACGGGAGGCAGCAGUGGGGAAUUUUGGACAAUGGGGGAAACCCUGAUGCAGCCAUCCCGCGUGUAUGAUGAAGGCCUUCGGGUUGUAAAGUACUUUUGGCAGGGAAGCGGUAUCUGCAGAAUAAGCACCGGCUAACUACGUGCCAGCAGCCGCGGUAAUAC